UGUGUAUGUAUGUAUGUAUGUAUGUAUGUAUGUAUGUAUAUCCGCGCACUGCACUUGCGAUGUAUGUUGUUGGUCUGUCUGUUGGGUUGUUGUUGUACAUGUCGUACUGUACGUGAUACUACUUUAUUAGUAGUAGUACACAUACGUAGCAGCAUAUGAUGGCUCCGCGGGUAUGUGGAUAUUAUAUGGGACACGCGCAUGCACGACGGUGUGGCGAUGAUGCACCCACGUAGUAGUUGUACAUGUUGUUGUUGUUGUUGUUGU
rnacentral:lncRNA from 1 species